UACGGAGGGUGCGAGCGUUGUCCGGAAUCACUGGGCGUAAAGGGGGCGGAGGUGGCGCGGGAAGUCAACGGUGAAAGUUCAGGGCUCAACCCUGAAUCGGCCGUCGAUACUCCCGGGCUUGAGCACUGUAGAGGCAGAUGGAAUUCCGGGUGUAGCGGUGGAAUGCGUAGAGAUCCGGAAGAACACCGGUGGCGAAGGCGGUCUGCUGGGCAGUUGCUGACACUGAUGCGCGACAGCGUGGGGAGCAAACAGG
rnacentral:rRNA from 1 species